rnacentral:rRNA from 1 species
AUUGAACGCUGGCGGCAUGCUUUACACAUGCAAGUCGAACGGUAACAGGGUGCUUGCACCGCUGACGAGUGGCGAACGGGUGAGUAAUGCGUCGGAACGUGCCGAGUAGUGGGGGAUAACGCAGCGAAAGUUGUGCUAAUACCGCAUACGUACUGAGGUAGAAAGUGGGGGACCUUCGGGCCUCACGCUAUUCGAGCGGCCGACGUCUGAUUAGCUAGUAGGUGAGGUAAAGGCUCACCUAGGCGACGAUCAGUAGCGGGUCUGAGAGGAUGAUCCGCCACACUGGGACUGAGACACGGCCCAGACUCCUACGGGAGGCAGCAGUGGGGAAUUUUGGACAAUGGGCGAAAGCCUGAUCCAGCCAUGCCGCGUGUCUGAAGAAGGCCUUCGGGUUGUAAAGGACUUUUGUCAGGGAGGAAAUCCCUAGUGCUAAUAACACUGGGGGAUGACAGUACCUGAAGAAUAAGCACCGGCUAACUACGUGCCAGCCGCCGUAACAC